AUCUUUUUAUAGAAUUUUAUAAAACCCUGCAGGAGAGAAAAUCAGAAGAGAAAAAGAAAACAUUGUAUUUGAUGUUUUUCACAAGAAUUUUCGACAUAAUGGUAAGUGAACAAAUUGCAGGAUUCGCGAUAGAUGUGAACACACCAAGAUUUUAUCUCGAGAUAAAACAUUGAAGUUGCGGGUUACUUUGUAUGCAUUGCAACAUAUGCACACUACGUAAGUUUAUCUCAGCCACUAUAGGAUCAACGAAAGAAGUGCUUGAAGAUGCAGAGAAAAAUUCUUUGUGUUUUAGUGUUUUUUCUCAUUUUGGGAAUAUGCACAUGCCGUCUCGCUACCAUUGGGCAUACUUCAUCCAGAUUUAGACACCAUCUCCAGCGAUUUUUGAAUGACAAUGCUGUUCAACACACGAGUGGAAAUCCAUCUUUGGGCGGCGUACGAAAUGCUGGCUGUAUGACAGUAAUACGUCAUCCUCUCGGCAGACAACGACGGCCGUGUAGUCGCAGGAGACACAGGAGGUGUUGAAACACUGUACAAAGACCAGAAUAAUUUUAAAUAUUGACCUUGAACUUUGUACUUCUUACACACUGGUAAACAAAACACAGAAAAAGUGAACUUAUCUGUUUGUUUAUCAAAAAUGUGGAUUUGUUUUAUUUGAUGCAUACUUAACCAAUGUAUCGUAUAUGCCUGUAAAUUCCUCAACAGAAUACGGAGUAGAACGGAGACUAAACAUUCUACAUGUAAGUUAAGAUAAUGUAUUGAUUGCGUGUACAUUUACUGUUAAAUCAUAAACUCAAAGUCCUUAUUAUUAUUAUUGGCACAAGACUGAAUUGAUAGUGCUCUAGCAAUAAUACAAUGUGAUGAGAUGCCGUGUGUGUAUUGUAAGAAAAUUAAGAAGACUAUAUUAUUUUUGCAUUCUAAAUUUGCCACAAGGUAUAUCUGUGGUAAUUUGUUCAAUUUGGACAAAUGAAAACAGACAAUCAAAAUAUAUUUAUCAAAAACGAAUAAAGCUCACGUACUAGG